UAUGGUCAUAUCACAUUGAAACACUGGGUCCCAUACAAUCACCAAAAAGUUAAGCAAUGUUGAGCCUGGUCGAUACCUAGAUGGAUGACCUCUUGGGAAUACCAAGUGCU